rnacentral:rRNA from 1 species
AACGAACGCUGGCGGCAUGCCUAAUACAUGCAAGUCGAACGAGACCUUCGGGUCUAGUGGCGCACGGGAGCGUAACGCGUGGGAAUCUGCCCUUGGGUUCGGAAUAACAGUUGGAAACGACUGCUAAUACCGGAUGAUGACGUAAGUCCAAAGAUUUAUCGCCCAGGGAUGAGCCCGCGUAGGAUUAGCUAGUUGGUGGGGUAAAGGCCUACCAAGGCGACGAUCCUUAGCUGGUCUGAGAGGAUGAUCAGCCACACUGGGACUGAGACACGGCCCAGACUCCUACGGGAGGCAGCAGUGGGGAAUAUUGGACAAUGGGCGAAAGCCUGAUCCAGCAAUGCCGCGUGAGUGAUGAAGGCCUUAGGGUUGUAAAGCUCUUUUACCCGGGAUGAUAAUGACAGUACCGGGAGAAUAAGCCCCGGCUAACUCCGUG